GUAGUAUUGCCAAGACUGUUUUUAAAAAUGUUCAGUAUAAUCUUCAAACUAUAUCUACGUCUUACUUUCUGAAUGUGUUGUUGGACUUUGAUAUAUGUUCUCCUACUCGGCCGUCCCACUGUAGAUCUCCUUUUAGAGUCCCACAGCAGGUCUACUGUAGAUCUCCUUUUAGAGUCCCACAGCAGGUCUACUGUAGAUCUCCUUCUAGAGUCCCACAGCAGGUCUACUGUAGAUCUCCUUUUAGAGUCCCAGAGCAGGUCUACUGUAGAUCUCCUUUUAGAGUCCCAGAGCAGGUCUACUGUAGAUCUCCUUUUAGAGUCCCACAGCAGGUCUACUGUAGAUCUCCUUU